CAGCAGCCGCGGUAAUACGGAGGGUGCGAGCGUUAUCCGGAUUUAUUGGGUUUAAAGGGUCCGUAGGCGGCAGAAUAAGUCAGUGGUGAAAGCAUCCGGCUCAACUGUAGAACUGCCAUUGAAACUGUUUGUCUUGAAUUAAGAUGAAGUGGGCGGAAUUUCUCGUGUAGCGGUGAAAUGCAUAGAUAUCAUAUAGAACACCGAUUGCGAAGGCAGCUCACUAAACUGAUAUUGACGCUGAGGGGCGAAAGUGUGGGGAGCGAACAGGAUUAGAUACCCUGGUAGUCCACACCGUAAACGAUGAUUACUCGAUGCUAGCGAUAUACUGUUAGUGUCUAAGCGAAAGCGAUAAGUAAUCCACCUGGGGAGUACGGUCGCAAGAUUGAAACUCAAAGGAAUUGACGGGGGCCCGCACAAGCGGUGGAGCAUGUGGUUUAAUUCGAUGCAACGCGAGGAACCUUACCUGGGCUCUAAUGUAGAAUGACCGGUUGGGAAACCAAUCUUCUCUUAGGAGCAAUCUACAAGGUGCUACAUGGCUGUCGUCAGCUCGUGCUGUGAGGUGUCGGGUUAAGUCCCAUAACGAGCGCAACCCUUAUCGUUAGUUGCCAUCAGGUAAUGCUGGGAACUCUAAAGAAACUGCCUACGCAAGUAGUGAGGAAGGUGAGGAUGAUGUCAAGUCAGCACGGCCCUUAUGCCUAGGGCUACACACGUGCUACAAUGGUCAGUACAGAGAGUCGCUACUUGGUGACAAGAUGCUAAUCCCAAAAACUGAUCCCAGUUCGGAUCGAAGUCUGCAAUUAGACUUCGUGAAGUUGGAUUCGCUAGUAAUCGCAGAUCAGCAAUGCUGCGGUGAAUACGUUCCCGGGCCUUGUACACACCGCCCGUCAAGCCAUGGAAGCUAGUGGUACCUAAAGUUAGUCACCUUCGGGAGCCGUCUAGGGUAAAACUGGUAACCGGGGCUAAGUCGUAACAAGGUAACCGUA
rnacentral:rRNA from 1 species